GGCCUACGGGGGGCAGCAGUGAGGAAUAUUGGUCAAUGGUCGGGAGACUGAACCAGCCAAGCCGCGUGAGGGAUGAAGGUACAGAGUAUCGUAAACCUCUUUUGUCAGGGAACAAAGGCGGGGACGUGUCCCCGGAUGAGUGUACCUGAAGAAAAAGCAUCGGCUAACUCCGUGCCAGCAGCCGCGGUAAUACGGAGGAUGUGAGCGUUAUCCGGAUUUAUUGGGUUUAAAGGGUGCGCAGGCGGUCUGUUAAGUCAGCGGUCAAGUGUCGUGGCUCAACACCGGCCUGCCGUUGAACCUGGUCU
rnacentral:rRNA from 1 species